rnacentral:rRNA from 1 species
GGAUGAACGCUGACAGAAUGCUUAACACAUGCAAGUCUACUUGAACUUCGGUUUGGGUGGCGGACGGGUGAGUAACGCGUAAAGAACUUGCCUCACAGUUAGGGACAACAUUUGGAAACGAAUGCUAAUACCUGAUAUUAUGAUUUUAGGGCAUCCUAAAAUUAUGAAAGCUAUAUGCGCUGUGAGAGAGCUUUGCGUCCCAUUAGCUAGUUGGAGAGGUAACGGCUCACCAAGGCGAUGAUGGGUAGCCGGCCUGAGAGGGUGAACGGCCACAAGGGGACUGAGACACGGCCCUUACUCCUACGGGAGGCAGCAGUGGGGAAUAUUGGACAAUGGACCAAAAGUCUGAUCCAGCAAUUCUGUGUGCACGAUGACGUUUUUCGGAAUGUAAAGUGCUUUCAGUUGGGAAGAAAAAAAUGACGGUACCAACAGAAGAAGUGACGGCUAAAUACGUG